rnacentral:rRNA from 1 species
AGAGUUUGAUCAUGGCUCAGAUUGAACGCUGGCGGCAGGCCUAACACAUGCAAGUCGAGCGGAUGAAGGGAGCUUGCUCCUGGAUUCAGCGGCGGACGGGUGAGUAAUGCCUAGGAAUCUGCCUGGUAGUGGGGGAUAACGUCCGGAAACGGGCGCUAAUACCGCAUACGUCCUGAGGGAGAAAGUGGGGGAUCUUCGGACCUCACGCUAUCAGAUGAGCCUAGGCCGGAUUAGCUAGUUGGUGGGGUAAAGGCCUACCAAGGCGACGAUCCGUAACUGGUCUGAGAGGAUGAUCAGUCACACUGGAACUGAGACACGGUCCAGACUCCUACGGGAGGCAGCAGUGGGGAAUAUUGCACAAUGGGCGCAAGCCUGAUGCAGCGACGCCGCGUGAGGGAUGGAGGCCUUCGGGUUGUAAACCUCUUUCGCCAGUGAAGCAGGCCUGCUCCUUGUGGGUGGGUUGACGGUAGCUGGAUAAGAAGCGCCGGCUAACUACGUGCCAGCAGCCGCGGU